rnacentral:hammerhead_ribozyme from 1 species
ACCGGCUGACGAGUCUCAAAUAAGACAAAACGUACUUCCUGGAU